GCGAGUCGUACGUCUCUCAACCAUGUGAGAGGCGUGGCGGACGGCUCAGUAACACGUUGUCAACCUACCCUGGAGAUGUAGAUAACCCCGGGAAACUGGGACUAAUAUGCAAUAGGCCAUAACUCCUGGAACGGGUUUUGGUCCAAAGGGAAAGGCAGGCAUGUCUACCUUUUCGCUCCAGGAUGGGACUGCGGCCGAUCAGGUUGUUGGUGGGGCAAUGGCCCACCAAGCCUAUAACCGGUACGGGCUUUGAGAGAAGGAGCCCGGAGAUGGACACUGAGAUAAGGGUCCAGGUCCUACGGGGCGCAGCAGGCGCGAAAACUUCACAAUAUGCGAAAGCGUGAUGAGGUUACUCCGAGUGCCACCCGCUGAGGGUGGCUUUUCCUAGGUCUAAAUAGCCUAGGGAAUAAGGGGAGGGCAAGUCUGGUGUCAGCCGCCGCGGUAAUACCAGCUCCCCGAGUGGUCGGGGCGUUUAUUGGGCCUAAAGCAUCCGUAGCCAGCUCUGUAGGUCUCCUGUUAAAUUCAACGGCCCAACCGUUGAGCUGCAGGAGAUACCGCAGGGCUAGGGGGCGGGAGAGGUGGACGGUACUCCGUGGGUAGGGGUAAAAUCCUCUGAUCCGCGGAAGACCACCAGUGGCGAAGGCGGUCCACCAGAACGCGCUCGACGGUGAGGGAUGAAAGCUGGGGGAGCGAACCGGAUUAGAUACCCGGGUAGUCCCAGCUGUAAACGAUGCGAGCUAGGUGAUAGAGCGGCUGCGUGCCACUCUAGUGCCGCAGGGAAGCCGUUAAGCUCGCCGCCUGGGGAGUACGGUCGCAAGACUGAAACUUGAAGGAAUUGGCGGGGGAGCACCACAAGGGGUGAAGCCUGCGGUUCAAUUGGAGUCAACGCCGGGAACCUUACCGGGAGCGACAGCAGGGUGAAGGUCAAGCUGAAGACUUUACCAGACGAGCUGAGAGGAGGUGCAUGGCCGUCGCCAGCUCGUGCCGUGAGGCGUCCUGUUAAGUCAGGCAACGAGCGAGACUCCUGCCGCUAAUUGCUACCACCAGCCGAAAGGGUGGUGGGGCUAGUUAGCGGGACUGCCGUCGCCAAGACGGAGGAAGGAAGGGGCCACGGCAGGUCAGUAUGCCCCGAAACUCCCGGGCCACACGCGGGCUGCAAUGGUAGGGACAAUGGGUUCCGACCUCGAAAGGGGAAGGUAAUCCCGAAACCCAGCCGCAGUUGGAAUCGAGGGCUGAACUCGCCCUCGUGAACAU
rnacentral:rRNA from 1 species